CUCAUCACCUAAGCUCAAAGAGAGUAGGAGAGAAAGAAGACCCAGGAUGAGCUCAAAGAAGGUGUCUCUUGCUCUUCUAAUGGCGUUGUGCAUGCUCAGCCUAUCUGCUGCAGUCCUCGUGCACGCAGAUGGUGCAGCAGGGGCUGUUGCCGGCGCACCUCCCCCAGUGCUGAGUGGCUCAGAGUACAUGAAAUGUUGGGAUCCCCUGUCGAUUUCCAACAUGAUUUUCACUUUUAUUUUUUCGAGAAAGACAGUCCUUUACCCAGCAAACCAUUCCUUUGAAAAGCUGAAUCCCUCUUGCUUCUACUCUAUGUUCAUCGACACAGGAUUUGACUUGGAGCUUUCGAAAAAGCUUAAGGCCUACUUUGAUGGCGUUGUUUCUCAGCCCUCUGCCCAUUAAGUGGGCUCUUAAUCAUGGUUACUACUUUUCUAAGGGAGUUUAUGGCUUUGUGUUUUUGCUCUAUGUUUUUGUUUCCCUUGGAGAUGUUAAGGAUGUG
rnacentral:lncRNA from 1 species